CCUACGGGUGGCAGCAGUGGGGAAUUUUGCGCAAUGCUCGUAAGAGUGACGCAGCGACGCCGCGUGAAUGACGAAGGCCUUCGGGUCGUAAAGUUCUUUCGACAGGGAAGAAAAUGCCUAUAAGUAACUGUGUAUGUAUUGACGGUACCUGGAUAAGCAGCCCCGGCUAACUACGUGCCAGCAGCCGCGGGAAUACGGAGGGGGCGAGCGUUGGUCGGAGGGACUGGGCGUAAAGAGCACGUAGUCGGGAUUGUAAGUCAUUGGUCAAAGACUAGAGCGCAACGUUAGGAAGGCUAGUGAUAAUAUAAUACUAGAGUAUCAGAGAGGAUUGCAGAAUUCCUGGUGUAGCGGUGAAAUGCGUAGAUAUCAGGAGGAAUACCGUUAGCGAAGGCGGCAAUCUGGCUGGAAACUGACGCUGAGGUGCGAAAGCGUGGGUAGCAAACAGGAUUAGAUACCCCAGUAGUC
rnacentral:rRNA from 1 species